AUGAACUCACCAGAGGCGUCCUGGGUUGCUCAAUGCAGAGACUCUUACCCAGGGUGUCACUCUGAGAGAUACACGUGCCUGAGCCUCUUCCCUGAAGACAGACCCAGCAGAUCUGGAGGGAGGCCCCUGUGACGCACCCUGUGAUGAGCUGCUGAUCCGAGCUGCGUGGAACCUCAGCGGGGAUACCCUAUCAUCUUUACUUUGUUGGAGAGGAGCUGUAAUAGUCUAUGUUAAAGUUACUGUUCAGACAAAGGAUUCCAACAAAUUGCUUUCAUUACUUUACUGGUAA